rnacentral:rRNA from 1 species
ACGGGAGGCAGCAGUGGGGAAUAUUGGGCAAUGGGCGCAAGCCUGACCCAGCAACGCCGCGUGAAGGAAGAAGGCUUUCGGGUUGUAAACUUCUUUUAUCAGGGACGAAUAAAAUGACGGUACCUGAAGAAUAAGCCACGGCUAACUACGUGCCAGCAGCCGCGGUAAUACGUAGGUGGCAAGCGUUGUCCGGAUUUACUGGGUGUAAAGGGCGCGUAGGCGGGAUGACAAGUCAGGUGUGAAAUCUAUGGGCUUAACCCAUAAACUGCACUUGAAACUGCCAUUCUUGAGUGUCGGAGAGGUAGAUGGAAUUCCUAGUGUAGCGGUGAAAUGCGUAGAUAUUAGGAGGAACACCAGUGGCGAAGGCGACUUACUGGGCCGUUACUGACGCUGAGGCACGAAAGUGUGGGGAGCAAACAGGAUUAGAUACCCUGGUA